CGCACAGAGUGACAAACAACGUUAAGGUGUGCAGCCGCUCUAACGGUGAAAUGAAGUGUGUGUGUGUUCCGUAGAGUUUCUUGGACGGAGAGCAGAGGAAGAGAGUUUGCCGGGCAACAGCGGAGAAGAAAAACGGCAACACCAACCAGCACACCGGUGUCACGUCUCAUUUUGGAAAGAUGCUCUUCAAAUACUUCAUCACCGGCCCUCUCAGUUUCACUGCAGACGCUGGCUGACCUCAUUGAGUGACCUCACCAAUCACAGAUCAAAGUCAUCGGGUUUCUGGCUGGUCAGGUUAAUCAGAGGACCACCCUGAAGAACCAAUCAGACAAUUCCUGUAUCGCUGGCACGACUACACCGCCGCAGAGACAGAGGGACAGGACUUUGUGGAUUGACUGCCUUCCACGUCGGGGGCCGAUCAGGAACAGAUGGACGGGGUGAUGACCUCCCCGGCAGGCCAGAGCAGUGGCGCAACUGCCACUCAAAAUCUCAGUGUGUGGAUUUGUGUGAGUGUAGGUUUGUGUGUCGGAGGACGAUGGGGGGUUGUGUUAUGGCUCUGAGGGUGCUACGGCAAACAGGGUCCCCAUGAUAUGAGUGACUGACACUCCUCCAACAUCUGUUCCACGGAAAAACUCUCUCUCUUUCUCACUCCCACUUCUCCACUAACGGUCUCCCUGACUCGAUGUCUGUCGCCACCCUCUCCAUCUCUUCCCCACACACACAAGAGCGAGAGGAUCUUUUCAUUUUACAGUAAAGCUUAGAGGAAUGGAGAAAUUACAUUAGGGCAGAAUAAGAUACUCCAUUUAUGAUGUGGCUCUUUGCAGGGUUCUCUGCACGGUUGACAGAGGAGGCUGCAGACGGCACUGAUGCCUUUACCCUUCUCUUCUCCUUCCUCUCUCGCUCUGUUCCCCCCCCCCCAACCUCCACCCCUCACUCGACGAUCAGGUUUCUCUCUGUCCAUCAGUGGAGAGGAGAAGAAGGGGAGGAGGUGGGUUGUUCUGAUCAAUGGCAGGAAACCAGACGAUGGGAAGGGAAGACGUGAAACAGAUAGGCCCCAUAACCUACCUACCUACCAGGAUACCGCAAUCACUUCUCUCUCUCCAUCUAUUUCUCGCUCACUUCUGUGUUCCUAUCUGUAAUUCAAAUACACGAGCACACACAGAGAGAAACACCGCCCAGGCACCACACAUACAAACACGCAUCUGACCACAAACAUGGUGCAAAGGACACACAGCAGCACCUAGCUUCAGACUACUAUAUGCCAACACACACACUCAACACUGCAGAUUGCACAAAGCAUGUAUGAGCUUUGCCUGAAUGCAUACCUAUUGACCUGCUCCUUAUGGGAGAAUGACUAAUAAUAUACAAAAUUAGAAUAUAUUUAUCUCCCAGCUCUAUGCAAAUCUCAAACAUAUUGCUUUCUCUCUCCAGGGGGCCACACAUUCCCACACACGAAUAUAGUAAGAGCUGCAGAGAUAUAUGUGUAAUUAGGGCAGACAGAGAGAAUAGCUGUCUCAUUUGAGUUUAUUAAUUUGUGGUAUUUUUAUUACCGUUUAUCACCAUCUUUUUAUGGUGGACAACACCGCUGCUCAUUCCUCAAGGCACUUAUUAGCAGAACGAGUACUCGCCGGUUAUUUAACUCUAUUCCUCUGGAUCAAAUUAUGCAGCGUUAGAUCCUGGCAGAGUUAUGAAACUAACACUGAUAAUACAAUGGAAAAAGGAGGAGACUUCAUUAUAUUAAAAUACUGUGCUAAAGA